CAGCAGCCGCGGGAACACCAGCACCUCGAGUGGUCAGGAGGUUUAUUGGGCCUAAAGCAUCCGUAGCCGGUUGCAUAAGUUUUCGGUUAAAUCUAUGCGCUUAACGUAUAGGCCGCCGAAAAUACUGUGCAGCUAGGGAGUGGGAGAGGUACACGGUACUCGAUAGGAAGGGGUAAAAUCCUUUGAUCUAUUGAUGACCACCUGUGGCGAAGGCGGUGUACCAGAACACGUUCGACGGUGAGGGAUGAAAGCUGGGGGAGCAAACCGGAUUAGAGACCCGGGUAGUCCCUGUCUCUUAUAA
rnacentral:rRNA from 1 species